rfam:Campylobacter sp. NCTC 13003, complete genome.
ACUUUUUGAUUAUUAUGAUAUAAUCACCGCUCGAUUUUAUAUACCGCUCAGGAGGUCAAAUAUGGCUUUAGAUACGGCUAAAAAAGCUCAAAUAGUUGCAAAAUUUGCUAGAAAAAGU